UUGUAAUAAUUCAGAUAUCUCUCCUUAGACCAACAACCUUAAAUUUCAUGGCUUCCACAUCAAGCCUGAAGCGCACAAAUUCAAUAACAGAUAACAUGUCAUCAUCGGAUAAAUCGAAGCAAAGUAGGUACCAUAUGAAGAAGUGUUUCGCCAAGUACCUUGAGAAAGGUAGAAGGAUUAUAAAACUUCAUGACUUGAUGGAAGAAAUGGAGCAAGUUAUAAAUGACAACACUCACAUUUAUCAAAUAUUGGAGGGAAAUCUAGGCUUCUUAUUAAGUUUUACACAGGAAGCUGUUGUUGAUCCACCAUAUGUUGCUUUUGCAGUAAGGUCAGCCCCUGGAGUUUGGGAAUAUGUAAAAGUGAGCUCUGAGAACCUUUCAGUUGAACCUAUAACAUCCACUGAUUACCUCAAAUUUAAGGAAAGAAUAUUCCAUGAAAAAUGGGCAAAUGAUGAAAAUUCAUUUGAAGCAGAUUUUGGAGCAUUUGACUUUCCUAUUCCAAACUUAACAUUGCCUUCUUCAAUUGGAAAUGGACUCCAUUUUGUUUCAAAGUUCUUAACUUCAAGGUUUAGUGGCAAAUUGGCAAAAACACAACCUAUAUUGGACUACUUGUUAUCACUAAAUCAUCAAGGAGAAAGUCUAAUGAUAAAUGAUACCUUGAGCUCAGUUGCAAAGCUGCAGCUGGCACUAACAGUGGCUGAUGCAUUCCUCUUAGCACUUCCAUUGGAUACUCCCUAUCAUGAUUUUGAACCAAGGUUUAAGCAGUGGGGUUUUGAAAAAGGAUGGGGAGAUACUGCAGGAAGAGUGAAAGAUACAAUGAGAACUUUGUCAGAAGUACUCCAAGCUCCAGACCCAAUAAACAUGGAGAAAUUUUUCAGCAGAGUUCCUACAAUAUUCAAUAUUGUGAUAUUCUCUAUUCAUGGUUAUUUUGGGCAAGCUGAUGUUCUUGGCUUGCCAGAUACUGGUGGACAGGUAGUUUACAUAUUGGAUCAAGUGAGAGCUUUGGAAGCAGAGUUGCUACUUAGGAUUAAUCAACAAGGCUUAAAUGUGAAGCCUCAAAUUCUUGUGGUCACAAGGCUCAUACCUGAUGCUCAAGGAACCAAAUGCAAUCAGGAGUUGGAACCAAUCAUUGAUACCAUGCACUCGAAAAUUCUACGUGUGCCUUUUCAGACAGAUAAAGGAAUCCUGCGCCAAUGGGUUUCUCGCUUCGACAUUUAUCCUUAUCUCGAGAGGUUUACCCAGGAUGCCACAACUAAGAUUCUCAACCUCAUGGAAGGAAAACCAGAUCUUGUUAUAGGAAAUUACACUGAUGGGAAUUUGGCAGCUUCUCUUAUGGCUAGCAAACUUAGAAUAACUCAAGGAACUAUAGCACAUGCUUUAGAGAAGACUAAGUAUGAAGAUUCAGAUGUCAAGUGGAAAGAAUUGGAUCCAAAGUAUCACUUCUCAUGCCAAUUCAUGGCUGAUACAAUUGCAAUGAAUGCAUCAGAUUUCAUCAUAACCAGCACAUAUCAGGAAAUUGCUGGAAGCAAAGAUAAACCUGGACAGUAUGAAAGUCAUGCAACAUUUACACUCCCAGGACUUUGCAGAGUUGUUUCAGGGAUAAAUAUAUUUGAUCCUAAGUUCAACAUAGCUGCACCUGGAGCUGACCAAUCUGUCUAUUUUCCUUACACAGAAAAAGACAAAAGACUCACUCAAUUUCAUCCUGCCAUUGAAGACUUACUAUAUAGUAAAGUGGAUAACAAAGAUCAUAUUGGAUAUCUGGAAAACAGAAGAAAACCUAUCAUCUUCUCAAUGGCAAGGCUUGAUGUUGUGAAGAACAUAACUGGUUUAGUCGAAUGGUACGGUAAGAAUCCGAGAUUGAGAGGCCUAGUGAACCUUGUCAUUGUUGGAGGAUUCUUUAAUCCUUUGAAAUCAAAAGACAGAGAAGAAAUGACAGAAAUAAAAAAAAUGCAUGGUUUAAUUGAAAAGUAUCAACUGAAGGGUCAAUUUAGAUGGAUAGUUGCACAGACUGAUAGACAUCGGAACGGAGAGCUUUAUCGCUUCGUCGCAGACACGAAGGGAGCUUUUGUGCAGCCUGCUUUAUAUGAAGCAUUUGGUCUUACUGUCAUUGAAGCAAUGAACUGUGGUUUGCCUACUUUUGCUACUAACCAUGGUGGGCCUGCUGAAAUUAUUGUUGAUGGUGUUUCUGGUUUUCAUAUUGAUCCUCUUAAUGGAGAAGAAUCAAGCAACAAAAUUGCUGAUUUCUUUGAAAAAUGUAAAGUGGAUUCAACACAUUGGAAUAUGAUUUCUGUGACCGGAUUGCAGCGCAUUAAUGAAAGUUAUACUUGGAAGAUCUAUGCAAACAAGUUGCUGAAUAUGGGAAACAUUUAUACCUUUUGGAGACAAGUGAAUAAUGAACCAAAAGUGGCAAAACAAAGAUACAUUUGGAUGUUCUAUAAUCUUAUGUUUAAGAAUUUGUGUUACACAGGUGAAGACUAUAUUUGUUCUAAGUGAUGAACCUCAACAACCAGUGUCUAACUCCAAGCAACAAAAUCUCAGCAAAAAGGGAACAAGGCGUUCGAAGUCCAAAUCGCAGAGUUAAGAUCAACCACACAAACACAAGUUAAUGUAACUUAUUUUCAUCUGUGCAACAACUUAUUCAAGAAAAUCUUGCUCACAUAAUUAAUUUCAUUAUAAAUAAGUUGUAUAUUUGUUGCCAAAUGACAACCUUUCAAUGUUUUCAAUAAAAUCCUUAUGCACAAAGAGAAGAUAUGAAACUAUUGUUAUCUUAACUACCAAGUGUAAAUCAUAUCAAAAGAAUUUCAAAGUUUCGUGAA